CCUACGGGAGGCAGCAGUGAGGAAUAUUGGUCAAUGGACGAGAGUCUGAACCAGCCAAGUAGCGUGAAGGAUGACUGCCAUCUGGGUUGUAAACUUCUUUUAUAAAGGAAUAAAACGAGGCAAGUGUGCCUUUUUGCAUGUACUUUAUGAAUAAGGAUCGGCUAACUCCGUGCCAUCAGCGGCGGUAAUACGGAGGAUCCGAGCGUUAUCCGGAUUUAUUGGGUUUAAAGGGAGCGUAGAUGGGUUGUUAAGUCAGUUGUGAAAGUUUGCGGCUCAACCGUAAAAUUGCAAUUGAUACUGGCAGUCUUGAGUACAGUUGAGGUAGGCGGAAUUCGUGGUGUAGCGGUGAAAUGCUUAGAUAUCACGAAGAACCCCGAUUGCGAAGGCAGCUUACUAAACUGUGACUGACAUUGAUGCUCGAAAGUGUGGGUAUCAAACAGGAUUAGAUACCCCUGUAGUC
rnacentral:rRNA from 1 species